GACGAACGCUGGCGGCGUGCUUAACACAUGCAAGUCGAACGGAAAGGCCCUGCUUUUGUGGGGUGCUCGAGUGGCGAACGGGUGAGUAACACGUGAGUAACCUGCCCUUGACUUUGGGAUAACUUCAGGAAACUGGGGCUAAUACCGGAUAGGAGCUCCUGCUGCAUGGUGGGGGCUGGAAAGUUUCGGCGGUUGGGGAUGGACUCGCGGCUUAUCAGCUUGUUGGUGGGGUAGUGGCUUACCAAGGCUUUGACGGGUAGCCGGCCUGAGAGGGUGACCGGCCACAUUGGGACUGAGAUACGGCCCAGACUCCUACGGGAGGCAGCAGUGGGGAAUAUUGCACAAUGGGCGGAAGCCUGAUGCAGCAACGCCGCGUGCGGGAUGACGGCCUUCGGGUCGUAAACCGCUUUCGCCUGUGACGAAGCGUGAGUGACGGUAAUGGGUAAAGAAGCACCGGCUAACUACGUG
rnacentral:rRNA from 1 species